AUUGAACGCUGGCGGCAUGCUUUACACAUGCAAGUCGAACGGUAACAGGCCGCAAGGUGCUGACGAGUGGCGAACGGGUGAGUAAUACAUCGGAACGUGCCCGAUCGUGGGGGAUAACGAAGCGAAAGCUUUGCUAAUACCGCAUAAGAUCUACGGAUGAAAGCAGGGGACAGCAAGGCCUUGCGCGAACGGAGCGGCCGAUGGCAGAUUAGGUAGUUGGUGGGAUAAAAGCUUACCAAGCCGACGAUCUGUAGCUGGUCUGAGAGGAGCGACCAGCCACACUGGGACUGAGACACGGCCCAGACUCCUACGGGAGGCAGCAGUGGGGAAUUUUGGACAAUGGGCGAAAGCCUGAUCCAGCCAUGCCGCGUGCAGGAUGAAGGCCUUCGGGUUGUAAACUGCUUUUGUACGGAACGAAAAGACUCUUUCUAAUAAAGAGGGUCCAUGACGGUACCGUAAGAAUAAGCACCGGCUAACUACGUGCCAGCAGCCGCCGCAGUAA
rnacentral:rRNA from 1 species